rnacentral:snRNA from 1 species
AUUAUAAAUGAAAAAAAUAAAAAGAAACAUUAAAAUGAGGCAGAGAUUAGUAUGGCCCUUGAGCAAGAAUGGCAUGCAAAUUUGUGAAGUGUUCUAUAUUUAA